GAUGAACGCUAGCUACAGGCCUAACACAUGCAAGUCGAGGGGUAACGAGAGGAAAGCUUGCUUUCCUUGUCGACGACCGGCGCACGGGUGAGUAACGCGUAUCCAACCUGCCCCCAACUAGGGAAUAACCUUGCGAAAGUAAGACUAAUACCCUAUACUUUCCUCAGAUGUCAUCUGACGAGGAAUAAAGAUUUAUCGGUUGUGGAUGGGGAUGCGUCUGAUUAGCUUGUUGGCGGGGGAACGGCCCACCAAGGCAACGAUCAGUAGGGGUUCUGAGAGGAAGGUCCCCCACAUUGGAACUGAGACACGGUCCAAACUCCUACGGGAGGCAGCAGUGAGGAAUAUUGGUCAAUGGGCGGAAGCCUGAACCAGCCAAGUAGCGUGCAGGAUGACGGCCCUAUGGGUUGUAAACUGCUUUUAUACAGGAAUAAAGUUAGCCACGUGUGGUUAUUUGUAGGUACUGUAUGAAUAAGGACCGGCUAAUUCCGUGCCAGCCGCCGCGGUAA
rnacentral:rRNA from 1 species